rnacentral:rRNA from 1 species
UACGAAGGGGGCUAGCGUUGCUCGGAAUCACUGGGCGUAAAGCGCACGUAGGCGGAUUGUUAAGUCAGGGGUGAAAUCCUGGAGCUCAACUCCAGAACUGCCUUUGAUACAGCACGUCUUGAGUCCGGAAGAGGUGGGUGGAAUUCCUAGUGUAGAGGUGAAAUUCGUAGAUAUUAGGAAGAACACCGGUGGCGAAGGCGGCCCACUGGUCCGGUACUGACGCUGAGGUGCGAAAGCGUGGGGAGCAAACAGG